UACGUAGGGUGCGAGCGUUAAUCGGAAUUACUGGGCGUAAAGCGUGCGCAGGCGGGCUUUUAAGCCAGACGUGAAAUCCCCGGGCUUAACCUGGGAAUGGCGUUUGGGACUGGGAGUCUGGAGUGCGGCAGAGGAGACUGGAAUUCCUGGUGUAGCAGUGAAAUGCGUAGAUAUCAGGAGGAACACCGAUGGCGAAGGCAGGUCUCUGGGCUGACACUGACGCUCAUGCACGAAAUCGUGGGGAGCAAACAGG
rnacentral:rRNA from 1 species